GAUGAACGCUGGCGGCGUGCCUUAUGCAUGCAAGUCGAACGGAUCUGCAUUGCAGAACAGUGGCGGAAGGUUGAGUAACGCGUGGGAACGUACCGAGUGUUGGAUUAUAGCCUUCCGAAAGGAGGGUUGAUGCUGCAUAAACCCUCAAGGGGAAAGGAAUUAACCGCUCGCCGAUAGAGCGGCCCGCGUCCUAUCAGUUUGUUGGUGAGGUAAUGGCUUACCAAGACUAUGCCGGGUAGCUGGGCUGUGAGGUCGGCCAGCCACAAUGGAAAUGAGGCAAGGUUCAUACAUGGACGGAUGGCAGAAACAGGGACGCUUGGACAAUGAUGGAAAUCCUGAGCCAGCGAAGCCGUGUGGUGGAGGAAGAUCUACGGUUUGUAAAACCAUGCUGGCCCGGGUAGUGCGGGCACAAUAAGCAACUGCCAACUACGUG
rnacentral:rRNA from 1 species